UAAUGGCAGGUCAGCAUACUGCCGUGAAUACGUUCCCGGGCCGUUGUACACACCGCCCGUCACACCAUGAGAGUUGGGAAUACCCGAAGCCUGUGAGCUAACUUUUAGAGGCAGCAGUCGAAGGUAGAAUCAAUGAUUGGGGUGAAGUCGUAACAAGGUAAC
rnacentral:rRNA from 1 species